ensembl:misc_RNA Metazoa_SRP Metazoan signal recognition particle RNA
GCCAGGCGUGGUGGCUCAUGCCUGUAAUCCCAGCACUUUGGGAGGCUGAGGUGGGUGGCUCACCUGAGGUCAGGAGUUCAAGACCAGCCUGGCCAACAUGGUGAAACCCCGUCUCUA